rnacentral:rRNA from 1 species
UACAGAGGUGGCAAGCGUUGUUCGGAAUUACUGGGCGUAAAGGGCGCGUAGGCGGCCCAUCUAAGUCAGACGUGAAAUCCCCCGGCUUAACCUGGGAACUGCGUCUGAUACUGGACGGCUUGAGUAUGGGAGAGGGAUGUAGAAUCCAGGUGUAGCGGUGAAAUGCGUAGAUAUCUGGAGGAAUACCGGUGGCGAAGGCGGCAUCCUGGACCAUACUCGACGCGUGAGGCGCGAAAGCU